CAGCAUUGCCCUCGAGUGGGGUCCCAGCUGUAUCUCCCUUGUGACGCUCCAUCUCUGCAUUGCAGCAGGGGGACCCAACCCUGAUUUCAACACCAACCUGCAAACAUCACUGAGCUAUGCCAGAGCAUGGUCUUGACGAAAGCAUCCACUGAGGUGGCCAUCAAGGGAAGGGUUCAUAGCUGCGUCCUGUCAGCCGGGCUCAUGGGCUGCAGCCUUUUUGAAUUCUCUAGGUCAGGCCCGACCUUGCCGAGGUGUUACAGGUGUCACCCUGGAUGCGGCAGGUACGUGGAUGGGAUGGAUGAGGAUGCGCUGUCUUUCAGGAUUUGCUGACUCGUGAUCUGAGGACCGUGCUAACGCCACUGCGAUCGGCUGCCUCUGUGACGGACAGCAUUGUGGUGAUGUCACGCAGUUCCUUUCACCGGUUCUGUGACAGGAAGACCUGAGGUGCAACGAAUCCUGCCAAGAAUGCUCACUUCUCUGAAGCUCCAUCAUGGAACCCCAGGGAUUGUAUCCCACCUUGGUGAGAGCCCUCUCCAGCCGGGAGAGGUCCUCACCUCCCCUUGGAAAGAGGCAGAAGGGUCCCGUCCCUCUUUGCUGCCUCCCCCAUGGCUCUGGUAUUGGGGUUACUAGCCUCCCGUGAUGCCAGCUGACCAGGCAGCUGGACUACCGUGUCCGUGCUUCCUAAUGCCCGUACGUCCGGUCUAGAACCCACCACGGAUGCCAGCGCCCACGACUGCGGGACUCCCAAGUCUGCAGCUGCACCCUUCUGUUUCCUGAAUAUGUUGUUACACUCCUGCACAGUCUAUUAGUACAGUAUGCUGAGGGGGUACACCAGGGGUACACCAUCUCAUCUAGACAGUGGUCUAGUUUUACAACAGGCUACAUAAAAAGCACUCGCAAAGUCAGUACAAACUAAACUUUCAUACUGACAAUGACUAGUUUAUACCGCUCUAUAAUACACUGAAAUAUAAGUACAAUAUGUAUAUUGAAGUUGAUUUAUUUUAUCAU